rnacentral:rRNA from 1 species
UACGUAGGGUGCGAGCGUUGUCCGGAAUUACUGGGCGUAAAGAGCUCGUAGGUGGUUUGUCGCGUUGUCCGUGAAAACUCACAGCUUAACUGUGGGCGUGCGGGCGAUACGGGCAGACUGGAGUACUGCAGGGGAGACUGGAAUUCCUGGUGUAGCGGUGGAAUGCGUAGAUAUCUGGAGGAACACCGGUGGCGAAGGCGGCAUCCUGGACCGGCAUUGACGCUGAGGCGCGAAAGCUAGGGGAGCAAACGGG